UGGGGAAUCUUCCGCAAUGGGUGAAAGCCUGACGGAGCAACGCCGCGUGAGGGACGAAGGCCUCUGGGCUGUAAACCUCUUUUCUCAAGGAAGAAGAUAUGACGGUACUUGAGGAAUAAGCCACGGCUAAUUCCGUGCCAGCAGCCGCGGUAAUACGGGAGUGGCAAGCGUUAUCCGGAAUUAUUGGGCGUAAAGCGUCCGCAGGCGGCUUUUCAAGUCUGCUGUUAAAGCGUGGAGCUUAACUCCAUCAUGGCAGUGGAAACUGAAAGGCUUGAGUAUGGUAGGGGCAGAGGGAAUUCCCGGUGUAGCGGUGAAAUGCGUAGAUAUCGGGAAGAACACCAGUGGCGAAGGCGCUCUGCUGGGCCAUUACUGACGCUCAUGGACGAAAGCCAGGGGAGCGAAAGGGAUUAGAUAGUCCCUGUUAGUCA
rnacentral:rRNA from 1 species